rnacentral:rRNA from 1 species
GGACAAACUUCUAUCCGUUUUGACCUCAAAUCAGGUAGGACUACCCGCUGAACUUAAGCAUAUCAAUAAGCGGAGGAAAAGAACUAACAAGGAUUCCCCUAGUAACUGCGAGUGAAGCGGGAAAAGCUCAAAUUUGAAAUCUGGCGGUCUCUGGCCGUCCGAGUUGUAAUCUGGAGAAGCGUUUUCCACGUUGGACCGUGUACAAGUCUUCUGGAAUGGAGCGUCGUAGAGGGUGAGAAUCCCGUCUCUGACACGGACUCCCGAUGUUUCUGUGAUACGCUCUCGAAGAGUCGAGUUGUUUGGGAAUGCAGCUCAAAAUGGGUGGUAAAUUCCAUCUAAAGCUAAAUAUAGGNGAGAGACCGAUAGCGAACAAGUACCGUGAGGGAAAGAUGAAAAGCACUUUGGAAAGAGAGUUAAACAGUACGUGAAAUUGUUGAAAGGGAAACGCUUGAAGUCAGUUGCAUCGGCCGAGACUCAACCUUGCAUUGCAUGGCGUACUUCUCGGUUGAUGGGUCAACAUCAAUUUUGAUCGUCGGAAAAAGGUUGGGGGAAUGUGGCAUCCUUCGGGGUGUGUUAUAGCCCCUGGCUAUGCGACGGUUGGGAUUGAGGAAUUCAGCACGCCUUAUGGCCGGGGUUCUACCUACGUUCGUGCUUAGGAUGUUGACAUAAUGGCUUUAAGCGACCCGC